AAUUCAAGACAUUUAGACCAGUUUUUAAAAAGUUAUACAGUUUUAAAAGGUGUCAUUGUAAAUAUGAUAUAUAUUCCUCAUUGUAAAUAUCUGAGGCUGUAAGGAAAAACACAGCAUGUAACAAUUUCAAAAAAUUUCAGUUUAUGUAUUAAUUGAGCAGUACACAAUAUAGGAUUCAAGUAUUUGUCAGAAAAGAAUCAUGAAAACAAAUUUGAUGGAUAAUAUUGAUGUGACAAUAUCUCAAAAGUGAAAACAUAUGACAUAAAGCCUUUUUCUUUCCAGCCAUAGGUAUAAUGAAAAAGUUAUCAAUAAUAGCAGAAAUUUAUAAAAAGAUGCGUUACAAAACCGAAGAAAAAAAAGCAUUACUUACGACUUUUCAUGUUGGCAGAAAUUUUGUGGAACUUUUUACUUGACGAAAUGUCGAAAAUUAUAUUAAUCAAUGUGAAUAAAAGUAUGAACAAUUAAUCCAAACAGUUAACAGUUGCUUAUUAUGCUGUUAUUAUAGGUUAUAUUUGGAUAUAUAACCACAACAACGAGAAUGUGAUUCGAUCGUUGAAAAAUUGGUAACUUUCUGUGUAAUGUCACUAUUUAUAAAAAUAUAACUUGUUCGAGCUAGUACUUUUCGUAUAAAUAAAUUGUCAAGAAAACCAGCACGUAUCAACACAGCACAGCACAGACGAGAUCGCUGCCAACGGUAGAGAGACGAAUAGCACCCCCCACCGAUGGACGCUGCCAGGUACAAUUGCUGAAGACCUAGCUAUCUAUGUUUAUUACUUUAUUACCCGAGCUAAUGUCGUCGGGGUAGAGCGAAACAGUUAAUGGAAACGAGAAAAGAUGCAAACAAUUGUUGGUCAUUUCGCUAUAGAAAUAAUGUCGGUGAAAUACGGUGUCGAGGCAAACAAUAAAACGAUUACCGAUACCUGCAUUGGUUGCGAUGGCUGCAUCGUUUCUGCAUUGGGCAGUCUCUUUUCUUUUAUGACAGCUUCGAACGCUUCUUCGUCGAGCCGAACCAAUUUAGGCAAAGCAAUUAAAGACUUUCCGAAACUGGCGAAAUGUUUUCUUUCAUUAUAUUUCCUUGCAUCGUCGCAUGCACACAAUUGGGCAGUAUAUAACAAUAGACGAUAAAUAAUUGUCAACUACGUGCCUUGGUACGGACGAAAGAAUACCGUUUCGAAAAUCCUGGGCCUGGGUGACAGGCCCACACCCUAGCCAUUAAGGACACAAGGCACAUGGUACCCGCCAUAAACCUCGGCCGGGCAAUCCUCAACAGCUAAGAAUAACUUCGGAAUUCCCACAGACUCCGUAUUCUAGCAAAAAGGCAUAUUUUCUAUACAGUUUCCUUUAAAUAGCUGCGAAAAGAUCAUUUCACUCUAGAAACCAAUUUGAAAGUUAUAAUUAUUUAAAUACGACCGCAUCACGCGUCGCUUAUGAGCGCGCUCGGUCGCAUAUCACGGCAGCGAGUACGCAUACCCAUUUUUAUUACACAUAUCAGGAAAAAAUGAUAAUAUCAUUGAAGAAAGUCCAAAUAAUGUCGUGUUUGGAUUCGUUUUCAUUGGGAAAAACUCUUUCGUGCGUGAUUCCUCAUCUGCUUACAUUGAAUGCCGUUUGCGGAUCGCUGGGUCUUUGGCGCUCAGCAACGCGUUUAUUCGAGAAGAGAGAGAGAGAGAGAGAGAGAGAGAGAGAGAGAGAGAGAGAGAGAGAGAGAGAGAGAGAGAACUGGCAAUGGUCAUUCCAAUAUUUAUUCGUGAUCUUCAAAUUGAAUUUUUUCCAAUAACGAAAUAUUUUAUUUAAAUAUUCAUAUACACGUGUAUCAGAAACACGAAUUUAGAAUUUCUUAAUACACGGUACGCGUGUUCCAUGUACACGUGUAUUAUGCAUAGUGCAAUUUUUGCGACCGAGAUCUUUAGUAUAAGCAACGGUAAACGACAGGUAACAUAAAGGGUUUGUGCACAGGAUUUUUGUAUUUGUACUUCGCCUACCACACUUUUCAAACACAGUGACCUUUAAAGCUAACACGAUUCUUGAUCUUAUGGUCGGCAUAUAUGUAGUGGGCCGGAUCGAGAAAUUCAGUUAUAUUCUGUUAAAAAAAGAAGCCGUAGGUUGACGACCAGAGCAUCCACGAAUGCGUUACGAUUUCGGAGGUCUUCUGGUCAAACAAAACGAAGGUUCGUAACGGUUGACCAGCGCAUCUAUGAAAGGAUGAUAACACAUGAUAACAUAUCUGUAAACUAUUCGAACUAUGGAACCUUCAAAUAAGUCAAUUUCGGCUAUGUGCGUCACCUCCUUUAGCUACUAAUGAAACAAUUAAGGAUAAAUAACCCGGUUAUCGUUUGCGAUGCGAAUAGUUACGUCUGAUCUUCUUGUAGAUGUUAGUAUGUAAUAUGCCAAGCACGUCUGAACGUCCGUAAAAAUCAUGUUUUCCCAUAAUCUUAAUAAAAGAUUUAUUUUUCAAAUCAAUUUUCGGUAUCAAUGUUGUCUGCAGUCUUAUUCCGAGUACUGUUGUAGAGUAUAGAGGACAGAAUAUGUAUGUGUAGAUUUUUUCACGCUCGGGCAAGACAUUCUUAUGUUUGACACAUACAGUGUAAUGUCAUUUUUUCAAAGUUGCUAUUGAUGUUGGUCUCUUGAUUAGUUUUAUUUCAAAUUAGCGAGGUAAACAAGUAAUUUAAAUGUGUUUUACGUUAGCUAUUUACAUUAGCAAUGUAAAUGUAUUGAAAAUGCAUUUGUUAAUUGUUAAUAAAUUAAAUUUAACGUAAGGAA